AUGUUCACAUCCCCAUCCAGCCUGAGCUUCAGGCAAAAAACCAAAAAAAAAAAAAAAGAGAGAAAGAUCAGUGUAUCAAAAAAGAACCAAACAAAGAGGGGUAAUAAGAACACAAAGGAAUUUCAAAUACUGAAAAGCGUAACAAAACAUUUUUUUUCUUUAGAUAAUUUAUCUAAUUCUUUUCUUCUUUCAUUUCUAUUGUCAUUUUGUAAAGAUUUCUUCUAUAAUAAGGCCUACACUAUUAAAAAUGAUAGUUCUGUGUCUUGCACAAGUCCACUGCCCUCAAACUACUCCCUGCCCAGGAUCUUCCUUGCCGCUCCUCAAUCUUUGCACAAAGUGAGUCGCACCAUGAGGUGUCGAGCUCCCACAACUGAUAGAGGAAAGCAGCCUGAUCAGCACCAGUGAAAAUGCUCUAUUUAUCUAAGGCCGAAAUUGCACCAAUCUCAACGUACCUGUGUUACAGUGAUGUCUUAAAGGAGUCCCUACACAUCUAGCCACAAACCCUUUUCAUUCCCUGCAUGGUCGUGAAGCACAACUCCAUUUUAGGUGACAACAGGGAUGGGAAUUAGUUCCCCUGAUGCCAGACGCCUUCAGUGCAGAUGUCUCUGGCUAAUCCCAUCACCUGGACUUCCCUUUCUAGUCAAUGGAAAGAAAAAAGUUGUUCCACUGAGAGGUCUUGAGGUGCUUCUCCUGGUGACCAUCCAAUGCUUUAGAAAGGUUGCCAUAGAUCCUCGGUCACAUUUCCCAGCACCACAUGGGAACACAGCUACACAGGGCAUCUCAGGCAGCAGUGGCCUCUAUAUGUGUCUAUAAGGGCCUGAAUGUAAAGUUCUCAUCAUUGGGUGAAAUCUAUGCAAAAAAUAGCUCUAUGCAAGAAUUGAAAAAUACCCUUUGUUUUUAGAACGUCAAAUACUUUUAUCAAUUGUAAUGAAUAUUUUCUUUCUUUUUGAUUGGCAGCACCAUAUGCAUGCACUACAGAAAUUACUCUAUGUGAGCUUAAAUGUUUAUAUAAAUGUACAGUUAAUCAACGCAAUACAUUUCCUACCAACACUCUGAACGGAGAAACCUUGUUCUGAGAAACUACUGUAUUCCAAUCGACCUGUCUCCUCUCUCUUCUUCUGCCUCUCUGUCCUCUCUUCCUCUGCCUACUCUGUCUUUACAGAGGCCUCAUGGCCCCUCUGCCCUCCGGGGAAGUCUCCUGUGGGAUCCUGCCAGGCACAUCCUGAAGGAGCUGAAAUCGACUCUCCUGCAGCCCUGGGCUGUGCUUCGCCUUUUUGUCUAACUUCUCCACCAUCUCAUGAUCGUUGCAGCCAUGGCUGUCCUCAGCCUUUACAUCCCCAUCUCGACCUGUUUCGCUUGUGACUGACAGAGUCCAGCCGUUGUUGGCUCAUUGAUUGCCUGUGCC
rnacentral:lncRNA from 1 species